GGGGGAGAUGAAGGACUCUUGGAAAGAUUGGAUAUUUACAGGAGAUUGAGGAGCUAAGGGUGAUGCCAAGCAGCGAGCAGCUGCUGCCGGCAGCCGCUCAGCAUGAAAUGGCAAGCAAGGCGAGUAGCGCGAUAGUGAAUAGCGACAGAUGCGAAUUGCAUGUGAUGGUGAGAAACGAGAGAUGUGAGUGGUGGGCAACAACAAUUAACAGGUGAUGCGAGCGAUGGAGAACGACGAUUAAUAGGCAAUACGAAUGGUGGGCAAUGAUGAUCAAUGAGCGAGAUAAGCGGCGGACGACAGUAUACAGUGGCAAGCAACACGAAAGACUUCAGUUGAGUUUUUUGAGUUUUGAUAAUUUGAAUUUUAUCUAUUUUAUUUUAAUUUUUAUUAAAUUUAAAUUUUGAAUAUAUUAAAAUUUUCA